CUAGCUUACGUGGAGGCGCUGGUGGGAUACUACCCUAGCUGUGUUGGCUUUCUAACCCGCACCACUUAUCGUGGUGGGAGACAGUGUCAGGCGGGCAGUUUGACUGGGGCGGUCGCCUCCUAAAAGGUAACGGAGGCGCUCAAAGGUUCCCUCAGAAUGGUUGGAAAUCAUUCAUAGAGUGUAAAGGCAUAAGGGAGCUUGACUGCGAGACCUACAAGUCGAGCAGGGUCGAAAGACGGACUUAGUGAUCCGGUGGUUCCGCAUGGAAGGGCCAUCGCUCAACGGAUAAAAGCUACCCCGGGGAUAACAGGCUUAUCUCCCCCAAGAGUUCACAUCGACGGGGAGGUUUGGCACCUCGAUGUCGGCUCAUCGCAUCCUGGGGCUGUAGUCGGUCCCAAGGGUUGGG
rnacentral:rRNA from 1 species